rnacentral:rRNA from 1 species
GCUUGUCUCAAAGAUUAAGCCAUGCAUGUCUAAGUAUAAGCAUUUAUACAGUGAAACUGCGAAUGGCUCAUUACAUCAGUUAUAGUUUAUUUGAUAGUCCCCACUACUUGGAUAACCGUAGUAAUUCUAGAGCUAAUACAUGCGUCAAGUCCCUACCGCGCGAGCGGGAAGGAUGUGUUUAUUAGAUACAACCAACCCUUCGGGUCCCUGGUGAUUCAUAAUAACUUUCGGAUCGAUCUUCGGAUCGAUGCAUCAUUCAAGUUUCUGCCCUAUCAGCUUUGGAUGGUAGGGUAUUGGCCUACCAUGGCUUUAACGGGUAACGGAGAAUUAGGGUUCGAUUCCGGAGAGGGAGCCUGAGAAAUGGCUACCACAUCCAAGGAAGGCAGCAGG